rnacentral:rRNA from 1 species
GGUUCAUUCAAAUUUCUGCCCUAUCAACUUUCGAUGGUAAGGUAUUGGCUUACCAUGGUUUCAACGGGUAACGGGAAUUAGGGUUCGAUUCCGGAGAGGGAGCCUGAGAAACGGUACCACAUCCAAGGAAGGCAGCAGGCGCGCAAAUUACCCAAUCCCGACCGGGGAGGUAGUGACAAUAAAUACUGAUACAGGGCUCUUUUGGGUCUUGUAAUUGGAAUGAGUACAAUUUAAACCUCUUAACGAGGAACAAUUGGAGGGCAAGUCUGGUGCCAGCACCGGGGGUAAUUCCAGCUCCAAUAGCGUAUAUUAAAGUUGUUGCAGUUAAAAAGCUCGUAGUUG